GACUUCUCACAAAAAGCUUUCCCCCCAUUGUAUUGCGUCCUGCUACCAUCUUCUUGGAGUCGCUGCCUUACAGUUUGACGUCAAGAACAUGUUUACUGUGAUCGGACCGGUCUUUCUCCAAAAGCUUUACUGAGAGAGAGAGUAGGAGAGAAAGAUCUAUGGGAGGCCCUUCACUACUGUCAGACCAGUCCCCUCUGAUACUGUUGAAGAGAUUGCAGCAUCAAUUGUUGAUCUGACACAACCAGAUGAAGCAUGGAGUCAAAUUUUUUGUCUAUGAGAUUGUUCUGGGAGGAUUUGAUAUGAUCUACAGUGGAAGAUACAAGAUUGAAACUCUAGAGUAUUUAAGCAAGCUGAAGAAACCGCAUUGAAGCUUGAUUUGGACAGGCAUUAAUAUGUUGUUACUUAUGCAGUGAACCACAUCAAGUGCAGUUUCUAUUCAUUAUAAUGUCUAUCAAUAUUGUAUGCUUUGUUUGAGGACUCAGGCUGUGUUACAAAGCUGUUUGUACCAUAACAUUGUUCAUUUCCCUGCCUUUGUAUUGUUAAUAACAGCAGCUAGAUAAAUGCGUGGCCUAGCAAAAUGCCACAUGUUGAAGUUAUCAUUUCUUUGAACUUUAAAGUUCACCUGUUAAGGCAACAUGGAGCAGUUGUAAGUUACUAAUGAAGAGAAUAUGGAUGCACUAAUAUAGGUGAGUUAGUA